GAGUCAGGGCUCGACCAUUCUGAAUGGAGGGAGUGAAGUGUAAUGCCAAACCUGAGAAAGAAAGGGGGCAGAAAAGGAAGAAGUAGAAGAGAAUGAAAAAAAAAAGUAAAUCCAGUCGGAGAGAUAGGAAGAGAAAAGCAUCAAAGAAAGAAGAAAUAAGGAGAACAUCUGGGGAAGGAGAUGAAAAAGGAAACUGAACUGCACCCAAAAGGCUUAGUAAACUGUAAGACUCUCUGCCCUUUCAGCUAUGGCUCAAAUAAAACAACCGAACCUCCAGUAGAAGAGCAGGACCUUUCUUCUUGUGUUGCCUUUUUAUAGAAUGUGAGAAGUCCUGCCCGGACUAUGUGUUUGAAGACCUGGGUUCCAAUUCCUAUCAAACUACUAUCAAUGUGACUUUGGGACAAUCAUUUCUCUUCUCUGUACCUUAAUUAAAUUACUUGAUCUUUCAAAUGAUAAAGUUGGAUGACACUGUC